rnacentral:rRNA from 1 species
CCCUUAGAUGUUCUGGGCCGCACGCGCGCUACACUGAUGCAUUCAACGAGUUUCUUCCUGGUCCGAGAGGAAUGGGUAACCUUUUGAAAGUGCAUCGUGAUAGGGAUAGACUAUUGCAAUUAUUGGUCUUCAACGAGGAAUUCCUAGUAGACGUAGUUCAUCAGACUGCAUCGAUUACGUCCCUGCACUUUGUACACACCACCCGUCGCUCCUACCGAUUGAAUGCUCAGGUGAGCCAUUCGGACUUUCAUCAUGCUGGUUUCCAGUUUUGAUGAAGGAAAGUCUUGCGAACCUUAUCAUUUAGAGGAAGGAGAAGUCGUAACA